UCCCGUGCUGAGAUGUUUCCUGAGUAACCAC
rnacentral:piRNA from 1 species